rnacentral:rRNA from 1 species
UUUGGUUAAGUUAGAAAGGGCGCACGGUGGAUGCCUUGACACUAGGAGUCGAUGAAGGACGGGACUAACGCCGAUAUGCUUCGGGGAGCUGUAAGUAAGCUUUGAUCCGAAGAUUUCCGAAUGGGGAAACCCACCAUACGUAAUGGUAUGGUAUCCUUAUCUGAAUACAUAGGGUAAGGAAGACAGACCCAGGGAACUGAAACAUCUAAGUACCUGGAGGAAGAGAAAGCAAAUGCGAUUUCCUGAGUAGCGGCGAGCGAAACGGAACAUAGCCCAAACCAAGAGGCUUGCCUCUUGGGGUUGUAGGACAUUCUAUACGGAGUUACAAAGGAACGAGGUAGACGAAGCGACCUGGAAAGGUCCGUCGUAGAGGGUAACAACCCCGUAGUCGAAACUUCGUUCUCUCUUGAAUGUAUCCUGAGUACGGCGGAACACGUGAAAUUCCGUCGGAAUCUGGGAGGACCAUCUCCCAAGGCUAAAUACUCCCUAGUGAUCGAUAGUGAACCAGUACCGUGAGGGAAAGGUGAAAAGCACCCCGGAAGGGGAGUGAAAGAGAUCCUGAAACCGUGUGCCUACAAAUAGUCAGAGCCCGUUAACGGGUGAUGGCGUGCCUUUUGUAGAAUGAACCGGCGAGUUACGAUCCCGUGCGAGGUUAAGCUGAAGAGGCGGAGCCGCAGCGAAAGCGAGUCUGAAUAGGGCGUUUAGUACGUGGUCGUAGACCCGAAACCAGGUGAUCUACCCAUGUCCAGGGUGAAGUUCAGGUAACACUGAAUGGAGGCCCGAACCCACGCACGUUGAAAAGUGCGGGGAUGAGGUGUGGGUAGCGGAGAAAUUCCAAUCGAACCUGGAGAUAGCUGGUUCUCCCCGAAAUAGCUUUAGGGCUAGCCUUAAGUGUAAGAGUCUUGGAGGUAGAGCACUGAUUGGACUAGGGGUCCUCAUCGGAUUACCGAAUUCAGUCAAACUCCGAAUGCCAAUGACUUAUCCUUAGGAGUCAGACUGCGAGUGAUAAGAUCCGUAGUCAAAAGGGAAACAGCCCAGACCGCCAGCUAAGGUCCCAAAGUGUGUAUUAAGUGGAAAAGGAUGUGGAGUUGCUUAGACAACUAGGAUGUUGGCUUAGAAGCAGCCACCAUUUAAAGAGUGCGUAAUAGCUCACUAGUCGAGUGACUCUGCGCCGAAAAUGUACCGGGGCUAAAUACACCACCGAAGCUGCGGAUUGAUACCAAUGGUAUCAGUGGUAGGGGAGCGUUCUAAGGACAGUGAAGUCAGACCGGAAGGACUGGUGGAGUGCUUAGAAGUGAGAAUGCCGGUAUGAGUAGCGAAAGACGGGUGAGAAUCCCGUCCACCGAAUGCCUAAGGUUUCCUGAGGAAGGCUCGUCCGCUCAGGGUUAGUCAGGACCUAAGCCGAGGCCGACAGGCGUAGGCGAUGGACAACAGGUUGAUAUUCCUGUACCACCUCUUUAUCGUUUGAGCAAUGGAGGGACGCAGAAGGAUAGAAGAAGCGUGCGAUUGGUUGUGCACGUCCAAGCAGUUAGGCUGAUAAGUAGGCAAAUCCGCUUAUCGUGAAGGCUGAGCUGUGAUGGGGAAGCUCCUUAUGGAGCGAAGUCUUUGAUUCCCCGCUGCCAAGAAAAGCUUCUAGCGAGAUAAAAGGUGCCUGUACCGCAAACCGACACAGGUAGGCGAGGAGAGAAUCCUAAGGUGUGCGAGAGAACUCUGGUUAAGGAACUCGGCAAAAUGACCCCGUAACUUCGGGAGAAGGGGUGCUUUCUUAACGGAAAGCCGCAGUGAAUAGGCCCAAGCGACUGUUUAGCAAAAACACAGCUCUCUGCGAAGCCGUAAGGCGAAGUAUAGGGGGUGACACCUGCCCGGUGCUGGAAGGUUAAGGAGAGGGGUUAGCGUAAGCGAAGCUCUGAACUGAAGCCCCAGUAAACGGCGGCCGUAACUAUAACGGUCCUAAGGUAGCGAAAUUCCUUGUCGGGUAAGUUCCGACCCGCACGAAAGGUGUAACGAUUUGGGCACUGUCUCAACCAGAGACUCGGUGAAAUUAUAGUACCUGUGAAGAUGCAGGUUACCCGCGACAGGACGGAAAGACCCCGUGGAGCUUUACUGUAGCCUGAUAUUGAAUUUUGGUACAGUUUGUACAGGAUAGGCGGGAGCCAUUGAAACCGGAGCGCUAGCUUCGGUGGAGGCGCUGGUGGGAUACCGCCCUGACUGUAUUGAAAUUCUAACCUACGGGUCUUAUCGACCCGGGAGACAGUGUCAGGUGGGCAGUUUGACUGGGGCGGUCGCCUCCUAAAGUGUAACGGAGGCGCCCAAAGGUUCCCUCAGAAUGGUUGGAAAUCAUUCGUAGAGUGCAAAGGCAUAAGGGAGCUUGACUGCGAGACCUACAAGUCGAGCAGGGACGAAAGUCGGGCUUAGUGAUCCGGUGGUUCCGCAUGGAAGGGCCAUCGCUCAACGGAUAAAAGCUACCCCGGGGAUAACAGGCUUAUCUCCCCCAAGAGUCCACAUCGACGGGGAGGUUUGGCACCUCGAUGUCGGCUCAUCGCAUCCUGGGCUGUAGUCGGUCCCAAGGGUUGGGCUGUUCGCCCAUUAAAGCGGUACGCGAGCUGGGUUCAGAACGUCGUGAGACAGUUCGGUCCCUAUCCGUCGUGGGCGUAGGAAAUUUGAGAGGAGCUGUCCUUAGUACGAGAGGACCGGGAUGGACGCACCGCUGGUGUACCAGUUGUUCUGCCAAGGGCAUAGCUGGGUAGCUAUGUGCGGAAGGGAUAAGUGCUGAAAGCAUCUAAGCAUGAAGCCCCCCUCAAGAUGAGAUUUCCCAUAGCGUAAGCUAGUAAGAUCCCUGAAAGAUGAUCAGGUUGAUAGGUUCGAGGUGGAAGCAUGGUGACAUGUGGAGCUGACGAAUACUAAUAGAUCGAGGACUUAACCAUAUAA